GCUUGUUGGGGUUGUAGGACACUCUAUACGGAGUUACAAAGGACGACAUUAGACGAAUCAUCUGGAAAGAUGAAUCAAAGAAGGUAAUAAUCCUGUAGUCGAAAAUGUUGUCUCUCUUGAGUGGAUCCUGAGUACGACGGAGCACGUGAAAUUCCGUCGGAAUCUGGGAGGACCAUCUCCUAAGGCUAAAUACUCUCUAGUGACCGAUAGUGAACCAGUACCGUGAGGGAAAGGUGAAAAGCACCCCGGAAGGGGAGUGAAAUAGAACCUGAAACCGUGUGCUUACAAGUAGUCAGAGCCCGUUAAUGGGUGAUGGCGUGCCUUUUGUAGAAUGAACCGGCGAGUUACGAUUUGAUGCAAGGUUAAGCAGUAAAUGUGGAGCCGUAGCGAAAGCGAGUCUGAAUAGGGCGUUUAGUAUUUGGUCGUAGACCCGAAACCAGGUGAUCUACCCUUGGUCAGGUUGAAGUUCAGGUAACACUGAAUGGAGGACCGAACCGACUUACGUUGAAAAGUGAGCGGAUGAACUGAGGGUAGCGGAGAAAUUCCAAUCGAACCUGGAGAUAGCUGGUUCUCUCCGAAAUAGCUUUAGGGCUAGCCUCAAGUGAUGAUUAUUGGAGGUAGAGCACUGUUUGGACGAGGGGCCCCUCUCGGGUUACCGAAUUCAGACAAACUCCGAAUGCCAAUU
rnacentral:rRNA from 1 species